rnacentral:rRNA from 1 species
AUUGAACGCUGGCGGCAGGCCUAACACAUGCAAGUCGAGCGGUAGAGAGAAGCUUGCUUCUCUUGAGAGCGGCGGACGGGUAAGUAAUGCCUAGGAAUCUGCCUGGUAGUGGGGGAUAACGUUCGGAAACGGACGCUAAUACCGCAUACGUCCUACGGGAGAAAGCAGGGGACCUUCGGGCCUUGCGCUAUCAGAUGAGCCUAGGUCGGAUUAGCUAGUUGGUGAGGUAAUGGCUCACCAAGGCGACGAUCCGUAACUGGUCUGAGAGGAUGAUCAGUCACACUGGAACUGAGACACGGUCCAGACUCCUACGGGAGGCAGCAGUGGGGAAUAUUGGACAAUGGGCGAAAGCCUGAUCCAGCCAUGCCGCGUGUGUGAAGAAGGUCUUCGGAUUGUAAAGCACUUUAAGUUGGGAGGAAGGGCAGUUACCUAAUACGUGAUUGUUUUGACGUUACCGACAGAAUAAGCACCGGCUAACUCUGUGCCAGCAGCCGCCGUAA